rnacentral:rRNA from 1 species
CUACGGGUUGCUGCAGUAAGGAAUAUUGCGCAAUGGAGGCAACUCUGACGCAGCCAUGCCGCGUGCAGGAAGAAGGCCUUAUGGGUCGUAAACUGCUUUUAUUUAGGAAUAAACCCCCGAACGUGUUCGGGGCUGAAGGUACUAAACGAAUAAGCACCGGCUAACUCCGUGCCAGCAGCCGCGGUAAUACGGAGGGUGCAAGCAUUAUCCGGAUUUAUUGGGUUUAAAGGGUGCGCAGGCGGGCUAUUAAGUCAGUGGUGAAAUCCCGGGGCUCAACUCCGGAACUGCCAUUGAUACUGAUAGUCUUGAGUUUGGUUGAAGUGGGCGGAAUGUAGCAUGUAGCGGUGAAAUGCAUAGAUAUGCUACAGAACACCAAUCGCGAAGGCAGCUCACUAAGCCAAAACUGACGCUCAUGCACGAAAGCGUGGGGAUCAAACAGGAUUAGAUACCCUUGUAGUC